AAUUCUUAGAGAGAAAGAGAAAGAGAUAGGGAGAAGAUUUUUUGUGAUUCCAGUGAGAGAAGGAGGCCAAUGGAGGAAGAUUUCAAGGUUCUAAGUCAUUCUGCUUCCAUUUUCUCUUCAUCUUUCUCUCUUUGCUCAAGUUUGAUUAUCGAGGAGGAAAUGGAUUGAUUAUGUCAAGCACCGGUUAUGUUUUGUGGGUUAGUACUCUGAGCCCUAGUCUUUUCUUGUAUAUGAAAGAGAGUAAACUAGGCUUUCAUUUUAUGGUGUGUUAGUCUCUUGUAUGCAACCCAAACAUAUUGUGCAAGUUGAUUUUAGAGAUCUAAAACAAUAUUUGUUUCUAGAAUAAAACUAUUUAAUGAUGUAAUUGAGGAUGUUCAAUUGAGAUUUGUUGUAAUUCUAAUGGUUUUGAAAUUUAUGUAUUUUGGAAAUAUAUUUGUUAAAGGAGGAUUUGAGAAGGUUCA